rnacentral:rRNA from 1 species
CAAUUUUUGAAGUUUCUUUAGCUUUUUUGUUGGGUGAAAUCAGUAUAAGGAGCUCUUUCUUCUUUAAAAAUUAGUAGGAACUAAAAAACUUUGAUUAAAAACCAGGAUUAGAUACCCUGUUAUUCUCAGUUAUUCUUAAACAGGGUAGUAAAAGUUGUUCUUCAAACCCAAAGAUUUUGGCGGCACUUUAUCCAAAUAGAGGAGCUUGCCCCUUAGUCGAUAGUCCUCGUUUUAUCUUUCCUUCAUUUGUAAAGCUUGUAUACCGCCGUUGUCAGAUUACUUUUAGAGAAUGUUUUCAAGUUAAAAGACUUUAUAACUUCAGGUCAAGGUGCAGUUUAUAUGGGGGUGGAGGUGAGCUACAGUUUCCUUUAGAAAAUACGGAUUCUAAGCUUUGAAGCUAGCUGAAGGUGGAUUUACUAGUAAAGUAAUUUAAGUAAAAUUACUUGAAUAAGGCAAUAAAGUGUGUACAUAUCGCCCGUCACUCUCUCCUUAAGGAGAGAUAAGUCGUA